GCAGUCCUUGUCUUUUCAGAUCCUCGUAUGUCUUCUUAUUCACAACAUUCCCACUUGAGUCUUCAUAUUCUUCCUCAGUGUCAGGCUGCCAUCGUUCUGAAGCCUUCUGCAAUUUCAGUUUGGCCCACAAGGAGACAGCAUCUUCAAUCUGUGUCACAUUAGCAAAGUGAGCAGUGUUUGGGAUGCCCAAACACCUCAUGCCAUGAGCAUGACGCCAUUCAGCAAAGUGUCGCUGGAAGGCUUUGGGCCCUCGGUAGGUGUAGUUUCCACAAAUCUCACAGUUGUAGUUGAUAUUUAGGCCAUGAAGCUUAUACAGCCAGUAGGGAAUAGGUUUGCCAUCCCAGCCAAGUGGCAGGUUUUUGGGGUUGUAAAUGAUCUCGUUCUCUUCAUCUUCACUCUCACUCUCACUGAUCUGCUCUUCUUCCUCUUCUUCUCGCUCUUCUCCUG
rnacentral:lncRNA from 1 species